UAGAUACUCCCUCUGUCCAAAAAUAGUUAUCAUAAAAAUAAAUAUAUCUAGAUGUAUUUUAAUUUUAGAUACAUUUAUUUUUAUUUAUUUAUGCGAUAAGUAAUUUCGGACGGAGGGAGGACAUA
rfam:Hordeum vulgare subsp. vulgare, WGS project CAJW01000000 data, contig: morex_contig_48238